rnacentral:tRNA from 1 species
GAUGGUAUCCCUCUGUAGAGCACAUGCUUAGCAUGCAUGAGGUCCUGGGUUCAACCCCCAGUACCUCCU